CCCGACGGAACGAGGCGGGCUAGGACGGGCUGGGGGACCCAGCCGCCUGCUGGGCUCCCCCGGCCCCAAAAUGGUGGGAGCCGCUUCGCUCCGCCCCCGAGCGAGGUGUUUGUUUGUGUUCCGGGCAUGGCGGAGCCGGCGGCCGCUCGGGCCCGGCGGGGCGGGACAGGGCGGGAUGGCAGCGGGGACACCUGCACCACCCGGCCCAGCCCGGCUGAGGGGCUUGUGCGGGGCCCAGGGACCUUGCCAAGGGUUCCCCCCGCGGGCGGGUCCCCAGACACGGAAGGGGUUCUCCGUGCUGGUCGCUGGCGUGACCCGAGAGUCACGGUCAGUGUAGGCAUAGGGCAGUGAACCCCAGAGUGGAGCAAAACCAGCAGCAGGCACUUGGUUUUUGCGUUUCUAAAGGUUUUUUACGCAAUGAGCAGGUACCCUAAUAAGCCAUAUAUUUAGCUCCUUUUUUUUUUCCUUUAUAAAAUAUGUCCAUACUUGAAUGUAAGUAUAGGUAAGUACUGAUAAAUGCAUAUUUGAGGACAGUGAAUCCUCCUCUGUCACUGUGUUAGUGUGCCAGCGCUGACCCACGCAGAUGGUCCUGUUAGUGUUCUUUGGUUCCUCAAAAUGUAUCCUUGGCCUUCAGAUUCACACCAUGAAAAAUACUUUAAAAUCCAGUUUUUAAAGCAAAGUAUUUUUUAAGGUGAAGCAAAUGUGGUGCAGGUGAGAGCAGCAGCAAAUUCCAGUCUGUAAAGAAGUACAGCGUGGCUGCUGCUUAUCACCGAGUUCUCUGCUGACACAGCUCGGGCCUGCUUUGUGCCUGCUUGGGUCCAAGUAUCUCCAGACCUCUUGUUCACAGUGACAUAUUUGGCUCCACAACUUUUCCUGGUGGACCUCAGUCUGAGAUCAGAGUUUUUGCUGAUUAUCCUUGUGAGCUCAUUCUUGUAGAUUUCUUUUUAUUACUGUUUAGCGUGGUUUGUUUUGCUGCUUAUCGAUGGGUAAGUUAAACAACCCUGGUGUAAAGCCUAUGAUUGCUGCCGUUUAUGGUGUUCUAACACGGUUUCAGGCUUUUCAAGGAAACUGAAACUGAACAUGGGGCAGGAUUGUGAGUGUUGCUCAAGAUAGAGAGGCUUUGCAGUGGUGCAUUGUAAAUAAUGACUGUUUUAUGUGGCUUGCUCAUUUGGGUGUUUAUCCUAUGAGUCUGUUGGCUUGGUUUAAUAGAAUUAGGCAAGCAGUUGUUGGAGGGGAUCCAGUGAACCACUGCCUCACCCAGUCGUGAUUUCAAGGUUAAGGCAAUGUCAGAGCUGUCUGCUGUGAGAACCUGGUGAUGAAACUCCAGCGUUGUCACUGGUAUUUUCAGUUGUGCAGUGCCACCAUUGGGAACGAGAUUAUGGGCAGCUAAAAGACUGAGUUAGCUGUUCUCUCAUGUUUUGUUUUCUCUGUGAGGCUCGGGCCUGUGUCCUUUAUGUAGUUCAGUGAAAACCACAGGUCACACUGUGCCGUGGUGUGAGGCUGUGAUCACAGUUUGAUCUUCCACAGUGAGGAGGUCCUAUGGAAAGCUGUGGUGCCUCCCUGCUGGCUGACAUGCCAAAACAACCUUUCUUUGGAAACCAGAGUGCAAACUGGUCUCGUCCUGUCAUGCAGUCAGGAAAUAGGUGAGAUUUCCUCUGCAUCUCAUGGUAGAGAUGUUGCAUUUAUUUACCUUGAACUCAAUCUCCAGAAGGAAUAGCUGCUAGUCCCAGUUACAACUUUUCCCUUAGUAGGUACAGGAUGCUCCAAAUCUGGGCAUGUUUUAAAAAAUGCAGACUUGUCAAGUGCCAGAAGAGACCAGCUUUUCAUGGUGGACUCACAGAGUCCAAAGAGGAAGCAGAGGUUUGUGUUUGGCCUUGCAAGAAGACAGACUGCACCUGUGAGAGCUCUGAGGGGGAAGAGCUACUACCAGUCAUGCCUGGAUUCUUUGAAGUAGGGGAGGUUGAAGGCACUGCUUUUCCUGGCCAUUCACUCUUGUUAUGUCAGAUAGGUCAUUAAUAGUGGCUUUGCACCACUGGCUCAAAAGUUGUACAAAGGUCCAGGAGAUGAAAAAUGGAAAAAUUUUAGUGUUCACAAAUGUCUUUUAAUAUCCCUGCAUAUGCUGAGGUGUAGCUGUGAGCCUGCUCCUUUUGCUACCACACUUUUUGGAGGUUGGGGACAAGGAAGCAGAGGGAUGGGUCCUCAGAGGAUGGGAUUGAUGAGUAUGGUUUCUUUGUUUUAGCAGAACCACAGGGCAGUUUAACUGCUUACUUCAGUUCUCUCUGGUUUUUACUUCCUCUACUUAGUUUGGGGAACAAGUAAUAGUCAGAAUGGAUUUUCUAGAGCCUUCAAAUGCUCCUAUAGAGGAAGAAAGAUUCAUGUUGUGGUUUAGGGCUGUACAAAUACUACAGAUGGAAAAGAUCAUGCAAAUACAAAAAUUUCUGUCAGACUAAUAUCAAUACAGAACUGGCAACACAAGUCAAUGAAACUUUUUCUCACCUCUAGACAUUUAAACAGUUGACUGUAAUCUGUCAUCAGAGUGGAAGUGUUUAUGUUCUGAAGUUUGCCAGUGUACAGAAUUCAUGUUCUGGUACGCCUCGAUACAACAAUGUCACACAUGGGUCUGUCCUCACCACCUUCUGGCAGGUAGCAUCUUCUGAGUGAAACCUCUCUUUCAUAAUAGAAUGGAAAUUCAAGAAAAAGAGUUUUAAACUAUGCAGACAAAGUUUAUGUUUUAUUUUACAGGCUUUUGAUAUGAGAGGAGGCAAGUGACAUAUUGAUGUAUUCUUAAGGCUCAUGCGAGGUAGCCAGAGAUGAUGAACUGUUUUACUGAAAAAUCAAUUUCCUUUUGAGUUAAAAAUCUAAAAUCCUGUGAGGACAUAAAAAGUCCUUCUUGUUAGGAGUUCCUCUACAAAGUUAAGGUCAUAAAUUGCCUAAUUGUUAGAUUAAAGACUCUUUGAUAGCACCAUUUUACGUGAUCCGUGUUCAUGUUAUUGUUGGACAACAUUUUGGGUAUGUUUAAUAUGUCAUGCUUAACAAAAGUUUUUGAAAGACCUUUUCUGUCCUCAGCAUGGAAAAGUUUUUUCACUUCCUUUUCUUCCAUCAAGCUUAUUUUCCCAGCACUUCUUAUCUCUCAGUAGGUCUUAUCUUUCUUCUGGAUAGAGUUGUUUUCCCAAUUCAUACACAGAAGCCCAGUUGACUUCUGAGUGCAAUCUUUCCAUGCCAUGGUACCCAGAGGUUCAGAGAUAACUCUGUUUGCUCGGGUAAUGUUGGUGAAUAGAACACAAUGCAAUUUUAAAACCUUUUUCUGGAAGGAAAAAAAAGGGCUUUGUAUACCUCUGGAAGUAAAUUACAUUCUUCCAUUAUGUAUGUGAAUCUGAUUACGAGGAUGGCAGAAUUAAUUUAUCUGGUUAUAAAGGACAUGGCAUCUUCUAAAAUGCACAUGAUUAUUUUUAGUUUUGUUGAUUUUAGCUGAACUGUAGACGUUUCUCAGUGUAUGUUACAACUGCAUAUUGCUUUCUGAGACAGAGUGAAUGCAGCACUAGGAAGCAAUUAUGGAACUAAUAUAUUUCCCUGAAAUGCACUUUGUGAUGCAGGAUUUUACUCAUGUUUCUAAAAAUUACUUAAACUUCUGCCUAAAUUAUCCUAGUAUCACAAAAAUGCCGCUUAUAUCAAUUUGUCUCAAAGAUACCAUCUUGGUAAGGAGAAGUAUUCCAUGACUGGCAAGAAUAACUUGCCUUCCAUAAUAACAGUUUUCCCCAGCUCCAAAAUGUUUUUUUCAGUGAGGAGUGUAAUGCCUGCCUAUUCUGUGUAGUGGAGCACCUGCACUGUGAGCCACAAAGAACAGAAAGAACAUGUAUUUUGGGACUAAAACACCCAAACAACAAAGCAGACAGUCAUCAUACAAAAGUAACCUCUUCAAACAAACCCUGUGUCACCCAGCUUCCUGGGGAAUUUUGUGUAGAUAUCAAUUUUUCUUUUUCUCCUUGUACCACAUGUUGCCAUAGUCUCAUCUUCAAGAAUGAUCAGAGGCCUAUAAAAUAUGAUCUGAGGGAGAAGAUUGAAAGAAUUGGGGUUGUUUAGUCUGAAGAAAAGGAAGGUGUUGGGAAAAAUGGUAAUGAUCUUUCAAAUAUAUAAAAUUUUUCUCUGUAGACAGAAGGAAUCAGUUUUUCUCUAUGUUUAGUGGGUCUAGGGCAAAAGGUGAUGGACUUGGAGAUUUAAAAUAGAUAUUAAGAAAUUAUUUCAAACUGCAAAUGUAGUUUGGCAGUGAAAAUUAUUAUCUGGGAAUCACAUUUGCUGAAGGCUUUGAAAGGCAGAUUAGGUCACAUGUCUCAGGAAUGGUUUUAGUUGCAGUAGAUUAUAUGGAGAUGACCCCGAAAGGUUCCUGGCUAGUUUAUUAUGUUUUGUUUCUCUCAGGUGAUUUACAGCAGAUGCUUCACUGCUGUGUUAUUUUGAUUCUCACUCUUCCUUAUAUCCUCAGAAAAUGCCAGGAAGAAAAGAUGUCAGUUGGUAAAAAACUGGGUAACUGUAGGUCUUCUGCAAUAUCAGAAGGAUAAAAUGACACUUGAAUAGAUUCAUGAGAACCUGGGGAGUAGGACCUGUCAGCUCUGGUUGACAGCUCUGCCCAAGCCCAAGAUCACCUAUGUCUUUGUCAUUCCUUGACAGAAAACUGUUGAAACUGUUUCUGGAUACUGAAUGAUGGCUACAGAUGAUUAUUCUGAAGAGUACUAUUCUGCACUUCCUGUUGAAGCUCUGGUCUGUGACAGCUUAGCUGGCUGGACUGCAGCAGACAAGUUACUGGAGUCUGAACAGAAGGAAUGUGAGAAGGAACCAUUGAAGAUUUUGUACUAAAAGUAUCAGGUGGUUGUGAAUGACUGCCCUUGGGAAAUUCACUUUAUCCUCUGGCCAGAAAUGUUUCUUCUUAAUAUUUAGUUUUGCUUUUUGAUUAGUCUGUGUUUGUACAGCCUUCUCUUGGAGGGACAGGCUGGAAAUUUGUACCAGUAUUUGCUUUUGCAUGCUCAAACACUACUGUGCUUCCUGAAAAAAAAUUCUAGAAAACAACUAUAUCAUGCAGAAAACAGAAGUUAUCAUAAAUUAAACUUCUGACAGUAAAAGGAAUACAAGAAGGUAAUUGUACAAUUCCUUAGUCUGUUCUGAUUUUGGUUGUGUGGAGAUUCCUAUAGGACAUGAAAAUCUUGCUUGUUUACUUACAUGACAAAAGAGGAAAAAGGCCUUUUUUUUUUUUUUAGCAGAACAUGCUGUUUAAACAAACACCACAGUGAACCAAGACAGCUAAAGUCCCUUUGUCCAGAGCUGUGCUGGUGGCACAUUGCUGUGACCCCAUUGCUCCAGUCACCCCCCAGGAUGCACUUCCCCAGGGAUGGAUCCUGGUCCCUGUGCUGUGUCAGCCAGGAGAGGAGAAGGACAGACCCCUGCUGUCACCAAGGACACCCCAAAUCUCUCCUGAGCCUCGUCCAAAAAGGUUCUGUAAUUUACAGUUCCUUAAGGCAGGACACUUCUUCUGGUACAGUGCUGCUGUUUGCAGAGGAAGGACACCAGCUGCAACAAAAGUAGUGUCUAUUCUAGAGUGAGGGGUGAGCUCCACUGGACAUGAGUUGGCUUCCCUGGCUGCUGUGCUCAGUAUUUCAUUUUAGCAAGUCUGAGGUUGCUCCAAGUCUUCAUCUUCUCCUGCACUUUAUGCUACCGCAAGCCCCAGGUUGUAUGCUAUUGAAGAGAGAGAAAUAGAAAAUGCAAUUCAAUGUUGUAUUUCAUGCUCCCCAAGUUUGCUCAGACACACACCCAGAGAGAAUGUGUGCUGCCCUCAGCUUGGAGAUCUUGUGUUAGAAAUCCUGGCUCCCCCGUGCUUUCCUGCUUUGCCCAUAGCUGAUAAGAGAGUUCAUAACAGGAACCCCCUGUCACCUCAGCUGCAAAUGGUUCUGAGAAUCUAAUGGCCAAGAGAGUGGAAUUUAUAUUUAUUUUUGUUUGGCUUGUGUUUCAGCAAGCAUUUAUAAGAUCCCCCAGUUUAUCUUUGUCAGAUUGUUUUUCUUUUGGCUUAGCUUGGACACCAAUCUCGCUGUUGAGUUUACAUUUAUGGAGUGGGACCCAAGAUUUUCUCCAAGCAUUCAGUAUUAUGAUUUUGACUUUGCAAGUCUUGUUGCCUGGGAUAGGUGUAAAGGUCAUGUCUGCAUGUACAGCAAGAACAGAACUGGGGUGUGGGUGAAGCCACUUAGUCAAUUGAGAAGGAACAAAAGUAAUUCUGGAGGCUGCCUCUCCUCUUGGCUGGCAGGCAGAAGAAUUGGUAAAAACUGCAGAGACAACUGAGCAAACUAAUGAUGAUAUUUAUUUUAUAUUUUAUUUUAUAGGUGGAUUUUGAGGAAUAGUUUUUAAAAUGUAGUUAUUUUAGUCUCCUUUAGCAAACCAUGUGCGACCACAGCUGUUUUUCCAAAAUGCCUGGUUUGCUUGCUUUUGUUGCCACCGGUCGAGUUCUCACUCCACAUAGCAACGUCCACAAGGUGGUGCCACAGCUAAGAAGUUUGCAACAAAUAAGGCAAAAGUAAUUUGAUAAUUCUGUCUGUUUUUUUUAACUGACUCAAGUAUCUGCGCCAUUAAAGAAUUAAUAAUUAUUUCAUAAGCCAAAUAUCACAUGUUUUCAGCUCUUUUUUUAAACCACUUGUGUGAGCUAAGGUGGGUCUGUCUGCUGAGUGAGAGCAGCAUCCACACACCUGUGACUGUCCCAAAUCCUGCACAGAAAUGAAGAGGCAGCUCAGGGUUUAGCAGACAGGCUGAUGAAGAGCUGUGUAUUUCCUAGCAGGGUUACCUGUGCCAGCACUGGCAUGUGUCUUAUGUUUUUAUCUGGUCACUUCAGCAGGAAUCAGCCUGAAUCCUGACAAGCAGAAUAGUUCAUCCACAACUUUAGCCAAAACAGCUUCCACUUUCCCUGGAGUGGCUAUGGCACAUCAGACCCUAAUUUCCUGAGUUUUUCCUAGAACCAGGGAUAGCCAGGCUCCCUGUCCUGUGCUAAUCUGAUUAUUAAUUCCAAAGGGUAUGAAGUGCUUACAGAGGGACCUGCACAGAUGCUCAGCUUCCUGAGCAUCUUUCUAGAAAGGAUCAAACUAGAGAAGGUACAAGGCAGUAACAGGGAAUGUAAGAUGUCACGUGUCCAGUACAGAAAAGACAAUAAAACCUCCAGGGAAAAGUUGUUUGCAACUGAUUUUUAUAUCCCAGAGGUGCAGCAGGCCUUGGCCAUGCCCCUCAGAAGGUGUGUGUCAGUUCUGCAGCUACCCUUGGCCACACAGUGCUUCUUGCACCCUUGCCCUGCUCCCCUCAGUGACCUCUGCAAUCCAGGUAUUUGUGCUAGCAAAAGAAAUACUCCCUGUCAGCUUCUGCAGUGGACAAAUGAAGUUUGAAUCAUUUAUUCAUUACAUAUUUUUGUACCCAAAGCAGCAAGAAAAAGGGAUACCUUAAAAUACUAUUCAGACAAGCAGUGCAUUGACUUGCCUCCAGCUAGAAUCUCUCUUUGCUAGGUCUGUAUCAGAAAGAGAAAAAGAACAGGGUUUGCAUAAUGUUUCCUCUAAAUUGCUACAUUAUUAUUUUAAAACAUACUAAAAUUCUUCUGGCUAGUAAAGGACUUGGUGGAAAUUAUGUAUACCCAGCAAAGAUGGUUUGUCCCCCAGUUGCAAAGUUGAAUGAGAUUAGAAGAUUAUUGAGUCCAAUUAUAAAAGUUGGCAAAUAACACAAUGGCCACCUAUUUUGUUUCUAAGGAUCAUAUCUAUAAAUUAUAUGUAAAAGUGGUUUACAGUAUUUUGAAACUUUGUAUUGGUUUCAACAUCUGUUUGAAAAAGUCAGUAUCUAACCUGAGAACUAACUAAAAAUAUAAAGUCAUGAACAGGUCAAGUAGGUUUAAUUUCUGAGUCAGUCUGUUGAGUUAGCUUGAGCUAACUGAAUCAUGACACUGACAUUGUCAGAGUAUUCCUGAAAGAUUGUUCUGAGUGUAUGGCUGCAAUGUGCCUUGCAAUUAAAUUGACAUAUUUCUGGUUUCGUUUGGACUUUGCUUUUUCUUUGACUUUGCACAAUUCUUUCAAAAAAAAUUUUUUUUUUUUUAGAUAUUUUGCACAGAGGAAAAAUUAUGCUAUAUUCUGAAGGGAGUGAAUGACAGAGUAUCUAAGAUCAUACAUCUAAGUCUCCACAAUGUGGAAACUCCAGUAUGGACUGUAAUCCAAGAUCAGGAAGGAGACAAUGCAUUGCCAUGUGAAACACAACGCAGGUCAAAAUAAGUUUUCAGUGUGCCACCAAAACCACAGUACUAGGUUUCUGUUAAGGAGAAUGAGUAAUACCAUCCUAGCUGUAAAGGUUGCUGUGAGUGGGUAAUAAUUCCAUCUAACUGAUAGGCAGAUUGUGUAUUCUGCAAGAAAACAAAUAAUCCCAGGCAAAAUCUUGCCCUAUUUCUUCAGCUCAAUAAGAAAGCCCACCCACCAUAGCCACGUAGCUGAAGCUGCUCUCUGCAUAUUUGUCUAACUUUAGGAUUCAGGGACAGGGCUGUUCUCCAUCCUACAUGCCCAAACCAGUCUUUUUUAGGAACACAUUGCCUCCAACCUUGGUGUGGAGUGAGGAAUCUGUUCCUGCUGCUGCUCCCAGGAUGUGGGAUGUGGGUUGAACCUCAGCUCUGCAGCUGCAGACAGUGUGUGUCGAGGCCCCUCUCAGAGCCUCUCUCCCCAUUUCUCUUGAAGAGUGUGGGCUUCAGACCUUUCUGUGCACCCAGGGGAAAUUACUGACCCAGCCAGGGCUCACCCAAGUUCCCUCCUGGAGGGGGAUGUGGAUCUGUUCAGAAGAGGAAUGCAAUCACCAUUUCAAAUUUUGUGUGCCAGCCUGUUCUCCAUAGAGAGCACAAACUGACAGAACACAGGUAACACAUUGUUCAUGCUGUGCCUAUUUCUUACUUUGUUUCGCCAGGGAAAAUAGAUUAAAAUUAGUAUUAAGUUUCUUUCUUGUGCUUCCAAUAAUAGAAAAUUACCA